GAGGAAGUAAAAGUAGUAACAAGGUUUCCGUAGGUGAACUUGCGGAAGGAUCAUUA
rnacentral:rRNA from 1 species